UGGGGAAUAUUGCACAAUGGGCGAAAGCCUGAUGCAGCAACGCCGCGUGAGUGAUGAAGGUCUUCGGAUUGUAAAGCUCUGUCUUUUGGGACGAUAAUGACGGUACCAAAGGAGGAAGCCACGGCUAACUACGUGCCAGCAGCCGCGGUAAUACGUAGGUGGCGAGCGUUGUCCGGAUUUACUGGGCGUAAAGGGUGCGUAGGCGGAUGUUUAAGUGAGAUGUGAAAUACCCGGGCUUAACUUGGUGCUGCAUUUCAAACUGGAUAUCUAGAGUGCAGGAGAGGAGAAUGGAAUUCCUAGUGUAGCGGUGAAAUGCGUAGAGAUUAGGAAGAACACCAGUGGCGAAGGCGAUUCUCUGGACUGUAACUGACGCUGAGGCACGAAAGCGUGGGUAGCAAACAGGAUUAGAUACCCUGGUAGUCCACGCCGUAAACGAUGAGUACUAGGUGUAGGAGGUAUCGACCCCUUCUGUGCCGCAGUAAACACAUUAAGUACUCCGCCUGGGAAGUACGAUCGCAAGAUUAAAAC
rnacentral:rRNA from 1 species